UACGUAGGGGGCAAGCGUUGUCCGGAAUUAUUGGGCGUAAAGAGCGUGUAGGCGGCCAGACAAGUCCGUUGUGAAAACUAGAGGCUUAACCUCUAGACGUCGAUGGAAACUGUUUGGCUAGAGUCCGGAAGAGGAGAAUGGAAUUCCUGGUGUAGCGGUGAAAUGCGCAGAUAUCAGGAAGAACACCCGUGGCUAAGGCGGUUCUCUAGUACGGUACUGACGCUGAGACGCGAAAGCGUGGGGAGCGAACAGG
rnacentral:rRNA from 1 species